rnacentral:lncRNA from 1 species
UGGCCUAGGCGUGAAAUAUCCACCUGCAGAUUGUUACCAAUAGCCAUAAAAAGGGAGCUGGAGGGGAAGAUCUCGGCCUGUUGAUUUGCUAGGAGAAGCUUGCUGCAGACAGUUUUCCUGAUGCAAACUAGGCUGUUCUCGUUGAGGAGCUCAGGACCUUGAUGUCCUGGGAAUGGCUGCUAUUUUCAUCAGAGGAGCUCCAACCUUUACUAUAAGCAUCACUUCCUGACUCCAAUAUGGAUCCCUCAGCUUGGUGGCAGAAAUCCUUCAUCUCACCAGCAUAGAUUUCUUUGGCUUUCACCACUGGCCUUUGGGCCUUCCAGAUGUCCUCCUCCAGCCAAGACUGGACCAGGAAUCAAUCUACCAACCAGACUGAUUCUCCACAAAGCCUGAUUCAUUUGAAAUGUGUUACUCUCCAGCAUAAGGCUAGUUGCCCCGCUCAAGAGGCUGGUGAUAUGUGGGUGUAUCUUUACACUUUUUUCCCUUUAGGACUCAAUACUGAUAGUACCAAUUAUCUCAAGUAAAUCAGUUGUUCCCUGUUAGCAAAAGGAGCACACACUGAUGAUUCCUGGGAGGGUGACUCACUAAUUGCAACGUGAUUGAAACAUGUGGUCACCUGCUCUCACAAGGCGCACGGCACACUCUCCUGGGAGACACGCCAUGCAGGUCGCCUCGGGCCCGAUGCACAUGGUCACUGCCACGGGUUUCCCGGACACUUUCAAGGCCUCCACUGCCCACACAGCUUCCUCGACAUGUUCAAAAUACUGCAAUCAGUUAGGCGAGAGUGAUUUUAAUCGUGCUUCCCACAAAACCCCUGAGAACACUUAUUCUGUUGUCCAUUUUUAAUACUGCGG